UCACCAGCCACAAUCAGCUUCUCGCUCUCAUCCAAAAUUUGUGAGGAAAGAGGUUGGAUUUGCCAGCCUUCUGAUUCAAGUUUUGAAGAUCCUUGGAAGCUGCCUUAUGUGCGGGCACUGAAGAGACUACAACAAAUUAAAAAGCAAAUAAAAGAGCAAAUAUCCAAAUCGAAAGAAGCAAGCCUUGAUAAACCAGUUUCUGUUCAGCACCAUGGAGGCCACAAAGAAGAA